rnacentral:lncRNA from 1 species
CUAUUUAUUUCUGUUUUCCUCCAGGUUUAAGUUCCUUAUCACAGCUGAUAAAGUCCGCCCUUACUUCUUUGGUCUUGUGUGUUGCCACCUUUCCUCACACACUUGACUCUUCAGUAAUUUUAAUAUUCUUUAAAUUCCUUGAAUGUUCUAAGCUCUGUAGGCCUUUCAAGUGCUUCUGUCUACCUGGAAUAUUUAUUCCCCUUCUGUCCCCCUCAUCCUGCCCCUUUGUCAUGUGGAAUGUAACCUCAGAAGUUAGGUAGAAGUGUUCCUCUCCACUACUGUUCUCUAUCUUUUUGUUUUCUUAAGCUUGUUGGGCUUAACAAUUAAAUCUAUGGUUAUUUAAGUUUGUAGCUUCCCUCAUAUCAGGACAAUUCUUUCCGAGAAGACUUCUCCAAUAUUAACCUCUGCUCCUUCUUUCCCUCUCACAAACAGUUGAGAGUAUUUAACCUCAUCCCCAGUGAAGACAACACAAAGUCAUGCCCAGUUAUUGAAUAAACUUCAAGACUGGAAUUAAGUUGAUGUUUAUUCUCUUCAGGUCUACAGCAAUGCUACAUUGGUAUUCUGCAUCUUGUGAAUGAAAUGCUAAGUGCAACGACCUCCAAAUAACCUACAUACACAGUAGAGAAAUGAAGAAGAAAGAUCAAAAUAAGGUAUUUGAUACAACAAGCUGGGAAAUGCAAGAGAAGCUCCAGUUAUAUUUUAUAUAAUGGUCUGCAUUUGGCAUCCCACUUCUGCUACAAGGCAUCCUGACCAGUCCCCAACAAAAUGGAGAAGUGCAGCCUUGAUCCUGUACGCGAAUUUUGCGGUUGAGGUAUGUAUCCCUCAUGAGAAAGGCAGUAAGUACUUCACUUUCAUUUUUGACUCAACAGGAAAAACCCAGGUAAGCAUAUUUGCCUACUUUACCAAUCACACCUAAGCAGCCUCUGUAACACAGGAGUCAUCAGUAUUGGACUCAAGGGAACCUCAUCGGGUCAAAUUUCAGAAGAAAGCAGCACAUGAUUAGAGAAAACAGACUACUAUGGUGAAAUUUUAUAUGCUCAUUCUCAGUGCUUAUUCCCAAUUUCUUAGUAUUAAAAUACAAAAUUCUCAAAUGUCUGAAAGACAGCAUGGAAUAGGUGAAAUUUGAAAGACACUAUAUAGUUUAAUUAUAUAUAAUAGGAUACAUGUAUACUUUUGAGGAAGAAUGAGAGAAAAUGAGAAAAAAGCAUAGAAGAAAAAGAAAGAGAAGUGAGAAUGAAAGAGAAGGGAAAUAGUGGUUGAGAAAGAGAACAUUUACAUUUAAGGGACAAUAUGAGCAUUUUGGAGACUACAGUGUGAGAAAAAGUUCCG